AUUUAUCUGCAUCAAACUGUGACAAAACAAAUAAAUGCUGUGAAAUACAUAUAAAUCGUAUGAAUGAACGAGAAAAUCUAAAACUGCUGAAACAUCCGUUAAGGAACAGGUCCAGUUGUAUAGUUUUCAUAAGGCAAAUUUAUACAGCUUUUGAUCAAGGUGAUAAGUUUACCGACUUCGAGAAAUGCAAGAAUUCCUCCUGUCAACAGUGCCGUGUAAAUGGAUGUCCAUUUGUUGAUUGUUUUGAUUGUGUGGAUACAGUUUUUCUGCUCAGAAGUAUGAUUAAUAAUGUUUUUAUAUCAUUCAAACAGUGCAACAUGCAAAACAUGAAUGUCCAGAAAGAGUUUCGUUUUCAUACAAGAAGCGUAAUUUGCAAUAAUUAUUAUCUUCUUUAAUUAUCUGGUUGUAUAAGUUAAAAAUGAUGCUAUUCAAACCAGCAACCAUGUUUUAGCACAGUUCUGGUAAGUGUUUACUCUUAUGUCUGUGGUAUAUGCGCCAGGGUUUCAAAAUAUUAAAUAAUUGCAAUAGACGACAUGCGAAGCUGUGUUUUGAAGGUCGGGUCAUUUGAUUUUCAUGAAUAUUAAAAGAAAUUUGUGACAGUUACACACUUUAUAGCUUUCGUAAACAUCGAGCACAGGUUUUUUUUUCAAAGUCGAGAUCGAAAUAUAAUGUGUAUAUUAUAUUUAUAAAGGAUGUGUGAAAAUAUCUUUGUUGAACAACCUUGCGCUCUAUGUUUUCUACAUAAAAGUAACUUGAUUUUGAAUCUGUUUGGUGAGUACAUUUACAUAGAAUUAACCUCUUGUUGACCUACUAUAGGUAAUAAGUCACGUAAAUCUAUACCGUCACAGGUGAAUACCUCCGGAAAGCUUGUUUAUUUUAUGAGGCUACACAUGGAGCUUGUAUUUGACCAGUACAAUUAACCAAUUUCAUUUUUUAAAAUCCAAAACAAAGUUCUCACUAGACUUCGAUGAAUAUCAUUUAUGUUACACUGUGGGCCUUGAUGAUUUUCCAGGACAUUUUUCUUAAUUCUAAGGCGUGUAAUCGUAAUUUUCCUGGGCAUUGCCAUUUCGAAGAACACACGAAACAAUAUAUAUGUACUAGAAUAUGUAUAUAAAUACACAUUUAAACAUUUCCUUCCGGAAAAAAACUAACAAAAUCCACGCAAACUAUUCCAAAGAAGUUACAAUUUCAUUUAAUAUAAACAAA